UGUAAAAAAGAUCAUGUUUAAUUGAAAAGUCAGCAAAGUUGGCUCAGCUGUGUUUUAGAGAGUUGCAAAAGAGAUCAUGUCGAGCUUUGUUUCUCGAGGUUUUCUCCAAAAAAGAGAGUUAUUUUUACCGGCGCCAUCAGAACAACGCCGCCGUCUCUGGGUUUUCUCCAAUCCUCCACCGGAAGGAAUUUUACAGACAUCUCUUCCGCUUCAAACAUCAAACCCCGCCCAUUCUUUCCUCUGCCAAUUAGAGAACGUGCCUUACUGUUUUCGGCUUUUGAGCUGUUGUUUUGUUCGGAAACCGCGAAAGUUAACUUUUCGGCUUUUGAGCUGUUGUUUUCAGGGCGGGAAUCGGACACGACAAUGGCUGAUUACGAUACGAGGAAGAUCAGGAACAUAUGUAUUCUAGCACAUGUUGAUCAUGGGAAGACCACGCUUGCCGACCACCUUAUCGCGGCCUCUGGGGGCGGGGUCCUACACCCGAAGCUCGCGGGUAAGCUCCGGUUCAUGGACUACUUGGACGAGGAGCAGAGGCGAGCUAUUACCAUGAAGAGCUCUUCGAUUGGUCUCCACUAUAAGGACUACUCCAUCAAACUGUCGGAUUCCCGCGGAGUAAUUUUAGUUCCGAGCCGUCUGAGCUUGUAGUGCUUCUUCCCGCUCAGUUUCCAGUUCUCCUCCGAGCUGCGAUCUCGUAGAUCUGAGGUGCUGUCGUAUCCGGCGAACUUCGGUGAUGUCGAUGCUCCGAGGUUUCUCCGCCGCCGUUGGGCAGCUCCGUCUCCUGCUCUGUUCGCAGUUGGAAGAUUCCGAAACCAGGAAGUUGUCGAAAUUGUCGCUUCCGUGACAUUCUUCUCCUUGGAAAACAGUGUGCUGACGAUGUAAUUCUGUCUUCCUCAUUCGAGUGAAGGAAUAUCUGUAGAUCUCCUGUGUUCCCUUCUGAAUCUUUUGGCUGUCUUCUGCAUUGUUUCAUUGAGCGAUGCCAGUGUGUCUUCGCAGGCUAUCCCUGAUAUUCCCUUGCGAGCUAAUAUACCGACCCAUAGAACAUGGAAGAAACACGUCUCCCCUCUGAGAGCACCAGAACCUGGUUUUGUCAUAUCACCAGCACAUCCACCACACUAUGGCCCCUUGAUUACUUCUGGUCAUCCUCCUGCAAGUUCUCGUCUGUCCAGACCAUCAAUGAAGAGCAGCACUCUGGUGCCUCCACCAGUUGGCAUGCAAGUCAUUGCCCCUUCUCAGUACGUUCCCGGUGCCGUUCCUGGCGGUUGAGCUGAGCCUCCACUGACACCUUAUGCCUCACAUUGUUGCAAACUAGACACGGUGUUGAAACGAGGGGUUCAAGCUCCUCUUGUGGCAGCAUCGCCUAUAGCAGCGCGACCACAUCAGCCUACUGCCAAGCCGUCUGCCGCUUCAGAUGGAGAAAGUCAUUCCAAUCUGGUUUUUAUUAUCGGUAUUGCUGCUGGGAUUGCAAUUGUUCUUUCUAUAGCUAUGAUAAUUAUUUGUGCAUGCGAAUUCAGAUGAGGAAAUACUAAAGCAUCUGAGGAAGUCGUGGAUAAGGAUAUUGGAUGCACUGUUCACGGUUGGUGGAACAGCCAAAAUGUCCGCAGCAUUCUGGUACCCUGUUAAUGGAAACCCAUGGCAUGGAUCGGGCCACUUUUUCUUCAACUGCGACUGGGUCUCAAUGGACAUAUCCUCUGGCAAGUCACUCCUCACAAAGACUGCCUCGUCGGGUAGUUCAUGGGAUGCUGCAGGUUUUGUUAAGACGGUCCAUAUGCUUCAAAUGGUCAGAAGGGAUGCACAGUUCACGGUUGGUGGAGCGGCUGAAAUGUUCGCAGCAUUCUGGUACCCUGUUAAUGGAAACCCAUGGCAUGGAUCGGGCCACUUCUCCAUCAACUACGACUGGGUCUCAAUGGACAUAUCCUCUGGUAAGUCACUACUCACAAAGAUCGCCUCGUUGGGUAGUUUGUGGGAUGCUGCAAGUGCUUUCUCUCUACUAUUCUCGGUGAUAUCCCUGUGCCUAUCUGUUUUCAUAGCCUAUCGGAUUUUCGGACCCAAGUCCGCUCAAUAUAUGCCCAUGGAGAUAUCUCUAGGGUAGUUUGCUCUUGUCCUACUUAGGAAUUGGACUGUUGAUAAAUGAGAGACUGUACUGCUUUGGGUUUUAGUACUUCAAAAUUUUGCCAUUCAGAGUCCAAUUCUUUAGAUCAAUAAAGUCUCACUUUAUCUUUUUUUCUUUUUGUUUUUGAGGGCUUUUUCAUAAGUAGUGGGUGUCCUUAUUGAAUUCCACUUUUGUGCUGCUUUUUGGUUUGCUUUCUGUGUCAUGUCCUUACAGUUUAUUAAUAAAUACAUGCCCUUAUCUUCUUGUGAA